rnacentral:rRNA from 1 species
GAUGAACGCUGGCGGCGUGCCUAAUACAUGCAAGUCGAGCGAAUGGAUUAAGAGCUUGCUCUUAUGAAGUUAGCGGCGGACGGGUGAGUAACACGUGGGUAACCUGCCCAUAAGACUGGGAUAACUCCGGGAAACCGGGGCUAAUCCCGGAUAACAUUUUGAACCGCAUGGUUCGAAAUUGAAAGGCGGCUUCGGCCGUCACUUAUGGAUGGACCCGCGUCGCAUUAGCUAGUUGGUGAGGUAACGGCUCACCAAGGCAACGAUGCGUAGCCGACCUGAGAGGGUGAUCGGCCACACUGGGACUGAGACACGGCCCAGACUCCUACGGGAGGCAGCAGUAGGGAAUCUUCCGCAAUGGACGAAAGUCUGACGGAGCAACGCCGCGUGAGUGAUGAAGGCUUUCGGGUCGUAAACUCUGUUGUUAGGGAAGAACAAGUGCUAGUUGAAUAAGCUGGCACCUUGACGGUACCUAACCAGAAAGCCACGGCUAACUACGUGCCAGCCGCCGCGGUAA